GGAAUCACCAGGCUGAAGGCUUAGCUGAAGUUAAAAGACAAGUAAAAAUGCCUCCAAACUGUAAAACCUGAGUUGGGGAAUAAAUGGUAAAAUGUGUAAAAAUUUAGAAAAAGGUUAUAUGUGGACUGUAAAAAAUACACUGGACUCACAGGUAAUUAAGGGGUGAAUCAGAGUUGUUUCCUAAAUGGCAUAAGCCAAACUCUUAGAUAUUUCUACCAUUAGCUAAAAGGCAGAGAAGCACUCUCUCUCUCUAUUAAUGCACUUUUAAAAAUGAAAAUUGUGAAGUGUUCUGCCCUUAAAGUGGACCUUUAUUUCAGGUCUGCAUUACUUUGCUUAAUAGAUAUGGUCCUAAAGAUUAAGGUGGUGAUCCAUUUUAUCUUGUAAAAAUGCAUAAUUUAAUCUGAGUUAUAGGAAUUUAAAGCUGCCCUACUUUGAAGGCCUUUGUGACUCAAAGAUUUUUUUAAUUUAAUUUUUAAAUUGAGAAUUACCUGGCUUGGGCUUUUGGUCUUUUUAUAAUACGUAUUGCUGUCUACUUUUUUUUUUAUUCUUGGCUGCCUCAAGCUAUUCUUGCCUCCAAAAGGUGUCAGCAUAUGAAUAAAAACAGCAGAAAAUAAUUACCCUAAUUAGGUCAAUGUAUUAAGCUGUUUCUACAACUGUUUCUCUUAAACACCUUAUCUUUGUAGUCUUGGCUCAUUAGAAAUUCGACUAGUGGUAAGUAUUUAUUUUUUUCCUUCAAGGGGGUUUUUGCUUUGCUAAGCCUCGGGCAUUUGGUUCGUGCAAGAAAUCACAGAAACUGCUCCAGCGGACUCCGAAAGGAGCGGAAAAUUCUUUUGUUUGGGGGCCAUGAGGGGUGGGGGAGGGGUGGGGAUUCUGGUGUAAGCUUUUGGCUUGCAUUCGCUUUCUCCCUCCGAAAGUGGGCGACAUCAAGCAAGUCCCAGUUACAGAAAGAACCCACUGCAGGGCGUCCAGUCACUUGCCCAGUGAAAAGACUGUAAUCAGACAACUUUAAUAAAGGGAGAGCAGGAGAGUGGUGACGAAUUUCCACAUUCCGAACAAGCUUGUCGAAAGAGGAGUGCAGGGAAGGAGCAAGAAUGAGGCACUGGAAGACGGCUGUAGGCGCAUGAUGUCACAAGUUAUUGGAAGAAAUCCCUCCAACCUAGGUUGGGACAGAUGAAGGCGGCGCUUAUUGGUGUUCACCAAAACACCAGCAUGGUGUACCAGCUUUGGCUAGAUGAUGCUCAGGAAAACACAGAUCCUGGUGCCGAACAUGAGGACAGGGCAGGCCGAAGGAGAAAGUGGAAGGAGGGGAGCUUCUCUCUCAGCCUCAUCCUUCUGGGCCUGGAUGCUGGAGAGUCAUGAGGUGCUUCAGAGUACUCUGGGUGAGGAGGGAAAGAUGGUGCCCACCACAUGGAGGCCAGCCUAGGUCUUGUAUGAAACCUGUGAGGAGAUUCUCUCUCCCUUGCUGUCUUUGAAAAAGCAAGUUGCCAUGUGAAGAGGGCCAUAUAGCAUAGGAGCUGAAGGCAGCCUCCAACUGACGGCAAGAAAAUGAGGUCCUCAGUCUGACAACCUGCAAGAAACUGAAUGUUCUAAAAGCCACAUGAGCUUGGGAGCAGAUCUGACCCCAGCCAAAUCUCUGAAGUCCGCAGGCAGGAAAUGAAGAUCAGAAAAAGGCUAUUGUCUCAUGAAUAUGAGCCAGACUCCACAGAAGCUGGAGUCCUUCAUUAUGGAGCUAAACACAUACACCUGGCUUAGGAGUCAGAAAAACUGAAAGAGAAUUCAGGGAAGUAGAGAAAUUGCAAGCCCAGAUGCUGCUUCAUACCAAAGAAGCAAGUCAGCAGGUCAGCAACAAUGUGUAUCAGUUCCAAAAUGACUUACACAGGUACCAAGACAAGACAUUAUAUACACUUAUAUAGUCAAAUACUUUAAAACUGUUAACAAACUUGCUACAAUUGUCUCAUUUGUCUUUUAACCUUAAUAUCACAGAUCAAGUUUGUAAUCUCAAAAGUUCACCCUGGCUGCUGUGUGGAGUAUUCUCUUAUCUGCUCAUAUUACACUGUGCUUAUUCAUUCAUCAGUUAAUGGAAAUUUGGGUUGUUUCCUGAUUUUGACUGUAAUGAAUAAUGUUGCUGUAAACAUUCAUGUACAGUUUUGUGUGGACAUGCUUUUCUUUCUCUUGGGUAGGUUCCUAUGAGUGGAAUCACUAGAUUGUAUGGUAAAUGUAUGUUUAACUUUUAAAGAAACUGUCAAACUGUUUUCUAACAUGAACGGGCCAUUUUACGUUCUUAUCAACAAUAUAUGAUGGUUUCAAUUUUCCCACAUCCUCACCAACAUUUGGUAUUGUCUCUCUUUUACAUCAUAACUAUUUUAGUGGGGAUGUAGUGAUAUCUUAUCGUGGUUUUAAUUUGUGUCUCCCUAAUGACUAAUGAUAUUGUGCAUCUUUGCAUAUGCUUGUUAGCCAUUUAUGUACAUUCUUUAGUGAAAUGGCUAUUCAAAUCUUCUGCCCAUUUAAAAAUCGAGUUGUUUUUCUUAUUAUUCAGUUGUAAGAGUUUUUUCUUUAUUCUGUGCAAAAGUCCUUUAUCAAGUCUAGGAUUUUUGAAUAUUUUCUCAACCUAGAGCUUGUUUUUCAACAUUUUUUUCUUAAUGAUCUUUUGAAGUGCAAAAGUUUGAUUUUGAUGAAGUCUAAUGUAUCACUUCUUCCUUUAACUGUCAUGAUUUUUGUGUCGUAUCUAAGAACUCUUUACCCAACUCAAAGUUACCAAGGUAUUUUCUUCCAGAAGUUUUGCAGUUUUAACUCUUCUAUAUAGGCCUGUGAUCCAUUUUUAAUUCAUUUUUUGCAUAUGAUGUGAGAGAAGGGCCUAAGUUCAUAUUCGUACAUGUGGAUGUACAAUGGUUCCAGGAUCACUUGCUGAGAAAAGACUAUCCUUUCCCCAUUGAUUUUUUUGGCACCUGUGUCAAAAAUCAAUUGACCAUAAAUGCAAGCGUUUAUAUCUGAACUCUCAGUUCUUCUCCAUUCAUCUCUAAGGAUAUGUCUAUGCUUACAUCAAUAUCACAGUGUAUUCAUGUGGCUUUGUAGUAAAUUUUGAAAUUGGGUGAUAGAAGUCUUUCAAUUUUGUUCUUAGUUUUCAGAAUAGUUUUGGCUGUACUUUGCAUUUUGAUACAAAUUUUAGGAUGUAUGUGUGAAGUUUUACAAAAAUGCUUGCUGGAGUUUUGAUAGGAAUUGUGUUGAACCUAUAGAUCUAUUUGAGGGGGGAAUUGCCAUCUUGACAAGCUUGAGUCUUCCAAUCCAUGGACAGGGAAUGUCUCCAUUUAUUUAAAUCUUCAUUAAUUUUUCUUAGUAACGUUUCACAAUUUUUAGCGUACAAGUCUUAAACUUUUAUUACAUUUAUUUCUGUUUAUUCUUUUUGAGGCUUUGUGAAUAGAAUUUUUUUAAUUUUAUUUUUUGGGCUUGACAUUGCUGAUAUAUACAAAUACAAUAGAUUUUUAAAAUACUGAUCUUAGAUCCUGCAGCUUUGCUAAAUUCUUCGAUUAGUUCUAGAUAUUUUGUGUAUAGAUUCCUUGGUGUUUUCUAUACGCAAGAUUAUGCCAUCUGCAAAUAGAAGCAGUUUUAAUUCUUCCUUUACUCUCAGUCUGCUUUUAAUGAGCUAUUAUGUCUUCUGUUCUGUAUUGGUCAAACCCUCACCUGGAUCACAGUAUUUAUUACUGACCAUCACAGUUUCCUUGAGGAAAUGAAAAAAAUUAAAAAGAUAAAGUAACUAUUACCAUAAUCCCUACAUUCGGACACAAUAUUUAUGAGCAUGUGGGGUAAAUUCUUCCAGACACUCUUGCUAGAGGACGUGUAGCAGAGCUUAUGAUGCACUGAGCCACAUCCUCCAGCCACCAGAUUCCAGUGUAGCUGUGGUGAACUUUGCCUUGCACUUUACCAGUGUCCAUAUAAGCUCAUAUCACAGUGUCUUUCUGUUUUGCUUUCUGGAGGUCAGGGAAGCCUGCUGAGCUAUAUGUAGACCCAACCCAUAUUUUCAAGGUAAUACUCCUUAGUUGAUAGAAGCCCUCAGUCGAUGGGAACAGGAUUUCAUGGAUUAAUGCCCCAGCUCCCCCAUCCUGCAGGACAUAGAAUGUGUGACUAUCCAAGAUGCUUGCAACAUGGUUUCUCAGAGUUCCCAAUGGAAUUGAAUCCCAGCUGCAUACAACUGUAACCCACUCAUUUAUUAACUUUUCUCCCUUCCUCUUUCCCUUCACUUCUGUUUCCUAAGACUACUUCCCUCUAAAUGAUCUGCACCCAAGUCCUUGUCUCAAGGUCUUCUAGAGAAACCCAAACUAAGGCAGUUUGUCAAGGGACAAACUAGGGUACAUCUUUGAAACAGUCAUUAGGAGAGUGAGAGGUCCUGCAACGAUGUAAUAUAAAAGCAGUGAAAAUAGCUGAGAAAAUUAGAAAAAGAGAAAACUUACAGGAAUAAUCAUAGUCAUCUUUAAAUACCUGCAAAGUAAUCAGAUAUAAGAGGACCAAAGGAGACACUGGUUUUAACUGAGCACCUUCCAGGUUAUAUACUAGCUACUAUGAAGUGUAUUUAUUCCAUCCUUACAGCAACCCAGAGGCAAUGAGAACUACCCUUAUUUUUCAAAUAAGAAAACUGAGACACAGAUGAUUAAGGAAUUUGCCAAGGUCCAAAGCUAACAGGUAUUGGAACUAGGAUUCAAAUCCAAGCCUGUCUGCCCCCUAACCUGUGUCUUGCUGCUGUGUGUUUUGCUUUGAAGGGCAAAACAGAGACCAGCAGGUAGACAUUCUAAAUCCAUAGAAUUGUGUUUAUAUGAAUGCAGUGUGUGGCAGAGAUUGUCUAGAUGUUCAUCAAUGCUGUUUUCUCUGUUCUGUUUCUGGACAUACAGGAACACUUCAUGUCCUAGCCUCCUUUAUAAGUAGAUUGGGGCCAUGUAACAGGGUUCUGGCAAAUGGGAAUGUGCAGAUGUGAUAUGUGAUGCUCCUGAUUCAUUCAUUCUGUCUCUUUCUCUCUCUCCCUCUCAGCUAGCUGAAAGCAGAGAACCCAGCAGAGGAUUCUGGGAAGGUCCUGGGGGAUGGCAGAGCCAGCAGAGAGAGGGUAUGGAUCCACCAGGCAUAGGAUGGAACAGAGCACUAUUGACCACAGUGAACUGGGGCAUGGGCAAUCAAUAAACACAUAUUAGAUUAAGCUAUUGAGACUCAGGGAUUUUUAUACAACUGACAUUCCCUAAGAAGCCAUGAUCUUCCUGUCUCAGGAGGUGCAUAAGCAGUGGUUGAAUGUUCAACAGUCAAGAAUGUUAUAAAAAGAGGUUCUUGGGAGAGUGGACCUGAUGGCCAGCAAAAAUCAUAGCUCACAUUUAUUGAGUUAUUAUGGCUCAGGCAUGUGCACAUAUUCUUUUAUUUAAAUCUACAAUAUGCUUUAUCAUGCUCAUUUUAUACAUGAGGAACACAAGGCAUGGAGAGGUUAGAUAACAUGCCUAAGAUCAUGAAGCAAGCAAGGGGGAGAAAAGAUACCCUUCUCACUCCUUCCAGACAGCUCACUUCACCACCACUCCCCACUGUCUCUAAAGCAAAAGUUAUUUGAAGGCUUAGGGACUGGUUUGGUAUUAUCCAUGCAGGGCGGUUUGUUUUGUUUUUCUUUUAAAAUUUCAGCCUAUGCUUAAAAGAUUUCAUGUAAAAAUUCUGUUUUCUAGUUUCUCUUGAAAAUUAAGAAGAUCUGGUAAAACUGGGCUUGAAGACCAUUAUGGUAACAGGCUGCUGAAGCUGAGGAGAGGGCCCCUUCAGAUGGGCAUAAGCACUGCUCCCCCUCCCCAACCCCCCUUUUAGGUUACUAUCAGACUCUGGAAGCUUCUGAAUGUGUGAACCCUGAAAGAGUCCAUCUAAAGCUAAGUUCUCCCCAGGGGUAGAGCCCAAUGCUGGGCAUACAGUAGGG
rnacentral:lncRNA from 10 species